UGCGUAGGCGGUACGGCAAGUUUGAUGUGAAACCCUCGGGCUUAACCCGGGGCAUGCAUCGAAAACUACUGAACUAGAGUGCAGGAGAGGAAAGCGGAAUUCCUAGUGUAGCGGUGAAAUGCGUAGAUAUUAGGAAGAACACCAGUGGCGAAGGCGGCUUUCUGGACUGCAACUGACGCUGAGGCACGAAAGCGUGGGGAGCAAACA
rnacentral:rRNA from 1 species